rnacentral:rRNA from 1 species
GUCUCAGGCCGUAUCAGCCUGAAGGCGCCCGAUCUCGUCUGAUCUCGGAAGCUAAGCAGGAUCGGGCCUGGUUAGGAUCUUGGAUGGGAGACCACCUGGGAAUCCCGGGUGCUCGAGGCU